rnacentral:rRNA from 1 species
UACGUAGGUGGCAAGCGUUGUCCGGAUUUACUGGGCGUAAAUCGUAUGUAGGCGGAUCGUUAAGUCGGGGGUGAAAUCCCGAGGCUCAACCUCGGAACUGCCUUCGAUACUGGCGAUCUUCGAGUCCGGGAGAGGUGAGUGGAACUCCGAGUGUAGAGGUGAAAUUCGUAGAUAUUCGGAAGAACACCAGUGGCGAAGGCGGCUCACUGGCCCGGUACUGACGCUGAAAUACGAAAGCGUGGGGAGCAAACAGG